ensembl:lncRNA
CCUCGCCCCGGCAACUAACCCAGUUUAGUCAGACCUUCCAAUGUUAAGGAAGCUUCUAUAUUUAGACCGUGUUCCCUGCCUGAGGAUGAACUGUACUGGCUGCAGUGUCACACCUUAACACAGCUCUGCUCCUGUCCUCUGUGCUCGCUGGGGGAAUCAGCAGCCUGCCCUGGCAUGUGGACUUAAGGAUUGUUGCUAGAUAAUUGAUGAAAAUGGCACCCCACUCCAGUACUCUUGCCUGGAAAAUCCCAUGGAUGGAGGAGCCUGGUGGGCUGCAGUCCAUGGGGUUGCUGAAGUUAUGAAAGGAAGAAACUUAAAUAUGAACAGAUGACUCAUUGGAAAAGACCCUGAUGCUGGGAAAGAUUGAAGGCAGAAAGAGAAGAAAGUGACAGAGGAUGAGAGAGUCGGAUGGCAUCACCAAUUCAAUGGACAUGAACUUGGGCAAACUCUGGGAGAUGGUGAAGGACAAGGAAGCCUGUCGUGCUGCUAUCCAUGGGGUUGCAAAGAGUCAGACACGACUUGGUGACUGAACAACAACGACAAUAGGUAAAGAGCAAUCAAAAUGUGGAGAUAUCUGUAAAAAGAAGAGAGAGAGCAAAGGCAUGCUUAUGAUGAAUAUGAUAAGACCAAAUGCUUCAAUUUGAAAAGCAAUGACAUAGUACAAGAGAUUGAAGCUGAAAAAGUAAAGCUGGAAAAUUAUUUUGAAUGGACUAUUUAAGAAGAAUUGCUUCCCUGAAUCAGCCUAAUUAAUGUCUUGGGGGUUGGGCCUUAUUUAAUCGUGUAUAUAUCUUGUUACCUGAUCAUAAGGGUUUAUUAAAGC